rnacentral:rRNA from 1 species
CGCCUGUUUAACAAAAACAUGUCUUUUUGGUAUUUAUUUUAAGUCAGACCUGCUCAAUGAUAAAUUAAAUAGCUGCAGUAUUUUAACUGUACAAAGGUAGCAUAAUCAUUAGUUUUUUAAUUGUAAACUGGAAUGAAAGGUUAAAUGGAGAAUUAUCUGUCUCUUUUCUAGAUAAGUGAAUUUUAUUAUUGAGUAAAAAAGCUUAAAUUUUAUUAAAAGACGAGAAGACCCUAUAGAACUUUAUAUUCUCAAAUUUCAUGAGUAUUUUAUUGGGGUGAUAGAAAAAUUUAUUUAACUUUUUUAUUUUUAUUAUAUUUAUUUAUAAUUUAUUGAUCCAUAAUUUUUUGAUUAUUAGAUUAAGUUACCUUAGGGAUAACAGCGUAAUUUAUUAUUAAAGUUCUUAUUAUUUAGUAAGUUUGCGACCUCGAUGUUGGAUUAA